GACGAACGCUGGCGGCGUGCUUAACACAUGCAAGUCGAACGGUGAAGGGAUCAGCUUGCUGGUUCUGGAUGAGUGGCGAACGGGUGAGUAACACGUGAGUAACCUGCCCCCUUCUUCUGGAUAACCGCAUGAAAGUGUGGCUAAUACGGGAUAUUCUGGGUCUGUCGCAUGAUGGGUCUGGGGAAGAUAUUGUUUCGGUGGGGGAUGGGCUCGCGGCCUAUCAGCUUGGUGGUGGGGUGAUGGCCUGCCAAGGCGGGGACGGGGAGGCGGCCUGAGAGGGGGGACGGUGACACUGGGACUGGGCCACGGCCCAGAGUCCUACGGGCGGCAGCAGUGCGGAAUAUUGCACAAUGGGCGCAAGCCUGAUGCAGCGACGCCGCGUGAGGGAUGGAGGCCUUCGGGUUGUAAACCUCUUUCGCCAGUGAAGCAGGCCUGCUCCUUGUGGGUGGGUUGACGGUAGCUGGAUAAGAAGCGCCGGCUAACUACGUG
rnacentral:rRNA from 1 species